UACGAAGGGGGCUAGCGUUGCUCGGAAUCACUGGGCGUAAAGGGUGCGUAGGCGGGUCUUUAAGUCAGGGGUGAAAUCCUGGAGCUCAACUCCAGAACUGCCUUUGAUACUGAGGAUCUUGAGUUCGGGAGAGGUGAGUGGAACUGCGAGUGUAGAGGUGAAAUUCGUAGAUAUUCGCAAGAACACCAGUGGCGGAGGCGGCUCACUGGCCCGAUACUGACGCUGAGGCACGAAAGCGUGGGGAGCAAACAGGG
rnacentral:rRNA from 1 species